rnacentral:rRNA from 1 species
CCUACGUGAGGCUGCAGUGAGGAAUAUUGGUCAAUGUGCGCGAGCCUGAACCAGCCAAGUAGCGUGAAGGAUGACUGCCCUACGGGUUGUAAACUUCUUUUAUCACGGAAUAAAGUGAGGCACGUGUGCCUUUUUGUAUGUACUUUAUGAAUAAGGAUCGGCUAACUCCGUGCCCGCAGCCGCGGUAAUACGGAGGAUCAGGUCGUUAUCCGGAUUUAUUGGGUUUAAAGGGAGCGGAGAUGGGUUGUUAAGUCAGUUGUGAAAGUUUGCGGCUCAACCGUAAAAUUGCAAUUGAUACUUGCAGUCUUGAGUACAGUUGAGGUAGGCGGAAUUCGUGGUGGAGCGGUGAAAUGCUUAGAUAUCACGAAGAACUCCGAUUGCGAAGGCAGCUUACUAAACUGCCACUGACAUUGAUGCUCGAAAGUGUGGGUAUCAAACAGGAUUAGAUACCCCAGUAGUC